rnacentral:rRNA from 1 species
GACGAACGCUGGCGGCGUGCUUAACACAUGCAAGUCGAACGGAAAGGCCCUGCUUUUGUGGGGUGCUCGAGUGGCGAACGGGUGAGUAACACGUGAGUAACCUGCCCUUGACUUUGGGAUAACUUCAGGAAACUGGGGCUAAUACCGGAUAGGAGCUCCUGCUGCAUGGUGGGGGUUGGAAAGUUUCGGCGGUUGGGGAUGGACUCGCGGCUUAUCAGCUUGUUGGUGGGGUAGUGGCUUACCAAGGCUUUGACGGGUAGCCGGCCUGAGAGGGUGACCGGCCACAUUGGGACUGAGAUACGGCCCAGACUCCUACGGGAGGCAGCAGUGGGGAAUAUUGCACAAUGGGCGGAAGCCUGAUGCAGCAACGCCGCGUGCGGGAUGGCGGCCUUCGGGUUGUAAACCGCUUUCGCCUGUGACGAAGCGUGAGUGACGGUAAUGGGUAAAGAAGCACCGGCUAACUACGUGCCAGCAGCCGCGGUGAUACGUAGGGUGCGAGCGUUGUCCGGAUUUAUUGGGCGUAAAGGGCUCGUAGGUGGUUGAUCGCGUCGGAAGUGUAAUCUUGGGGCUUAACCCUGAGCGUGCUUUCGAUACGGGUUGACUUGAGGAAGGUAGGGGAGAAUGGAAUUCCUGGUGGAGCGGUGGAAUGCGCAGAUAUCAGGAGGAACACCAGUGGCGAAGGCGGUUCUCUGGGCCUUUCCUGACGCUGAGGAGCGAAAGCGUGGGGAGCGAACAGGCUUAGAUACCCUGGUAGUCCACGCUGUAAACGGUGGGUACUAGGUGUGGGGUCCAUUCCACGGGUUCCGUGCCGUAGCUAACGCUUUAAGUACCCCGCCUGGGGAGUACGGCCGCAAGGCUAAAACUCAAAGGAAUUGACGGGGCCCCGCACAAGCGGCGGAGCAUGCGGAUUAAUUCGAUGCAACGCGUAGAACCUUACCUGGGUUUGACAUGGAUCGGGAGUGCUCAGAGAUGGGUGUGCCUCUUUUGGGGUCGGUUCACAGGUGGUGCAUGCCUGUCGUCAGCUCGUGUCGUGAGAUGUUGGGUUAAGUCCCGCAACGAGCGCAACCCUUGUUCACUGUUGCCAGCACGUUAUGGUGGGGACUCAGUGGAGACCGCCGGGGUCAACUCGGAGGAAGGUGGGGAUGACGUCAAGUCAUCAUGCCCCUUAUGUCCAGGGCUUCACGCAUGCUACAAUGGCUGGUACAGAGAGUGGCGAGCCUGUGAGGGUGAGCGAAUCUCGGAAAGCCGGUCUCAGUUCGGAUUGGGGUCUGCAACUCGACCUCAUGAAGUCGGAGUCGCUAGUAAUCGCAGAUCAGCAACGCUGCGGUGAAUACGUUCCCGGG